rnacentral:rRNA from 1 species
GUGCAGCAGGCGCGAAUCUUUCGCAAUGGGCGAAAGCCUGACGAAGCGACGCCGUGUGAGCGAAGAAGGCCUUCGGGUUGUAAAGCUCUUUCGCUUGGGAACAAGAGAGGCUGGCAAAUAACCAGCCGAUUUGAGGGUACCAGGUAAAGAAGCACCGGCUAACUCCGUGCCAGCAGCUGCGGUAAUACGGAGGGUGCAAGCAUUAAUCGGAUUUAUUGGGCGUAAAGGGCGCGUAGGCGGGGAUGAAAGUCAGAUGUGAAAUCCCGGGGCUCAACCUCGGAACUGCAUUUGAUACUCCAUCUCUUGAGGAUAGGCGGAGAAAACGGAAUUCCACGUGUAGCGGUGAAAUGCGUAGAUAUGUGGAAGAACACCGGUGGCGAAAGCGGUUUUCUAGCUUAAACCUGACGCUGAGGCGCGAAAGCAAGGGGAUCAAACAGGAUUAGAUACCCCCGUAGUCC